UGGGGAAUAUUGCGCAAUGGGGGGAACCCUGACGCAGCCACGCCGCGUGAAUGAAGAAGGCCUUAGGGUUGUAAAGUUCUUUCGGUAUUGAGGAAGGUUGAUGUGUUAAUAGCACAUCAAAUUGACGUUAAAUACAGAAGAAGCACCGGCUAACUCCGUGCCAGCAGCCGCGGUAAUACGGAGGGUGCGAGCGUUAAUCGGAAUAACUGGGCGUAAAGGGCACGCAGGCGGUUAUUUAAGUGAGGUGUGAAAGCCCCGGGCUUAACCUGGGAAUUGCAUUUCAGACUGGGUAACUAGAGUACUUUAGGGAGGGGUAGAAUUCCACGUGUAGCGGUGAAAUGCGUAGAGAUGUGGAGGAAUACCGAAGGCGAAGGCAGCCCCUUGGGAAUGUACUGACGCUCAUGUGCGAAAGCGUGGGGAGCAAACAGGAUUAGAUACCCUGGUAGUCCACGCUGUAAACGCUGUCGAUUUGGGGGUUGGGGUUUAACUCUGGCGCCCGUAGCUAACGUGAUAAAUCGACCGCCUGGGGAGUACGGCCGCAAGNUUA
rnacentral:rRNA from 1 species